rnacentral:rRNA from 1 species
CACGCCGCGUGAGUGAUGAAGGCCUUCGGGUCGUAAAGCUCUGUGGGGAGGGACGAACCGCUGUGCGUUCAUAGCGCGCAGCAUGACGGUACCUCCUUAGCAAGCACCGGCUAACUUCGUGCCAGCAGCCGCGGUAAUACGAAGGGUGCAAACGUUGCUCGGAAUUAUUGGGCGUAAAGCGCACGUAGGCGGCUUAGCAAGUCGGAUGUGAAAUCCCUCGGCUCAACCAAGGAAGUGCAUCCGAAACUGCUGAGCUUGAGUACGAAAGAGGAUCGCGGAAUUCCCGGUGUAGAGGUGAAAUUCGUAGAUAUCGGGAGGAACACCAGUGGCGAAGGCGGCGAUCUGGGUCGAUACUGACGCUGAGGUGCGAAAGCGUGGGGAGCAAACAGGGAUUAGAUACCCUGGUAGUCCACGCCGUAAACGAUGAGUGCUAGGUGCUGUGGGUAUUGACCCCCGCGGUGCCGCAGCCAACGCGUUAAGCACUCCGCCUGGGGAGUACGGCCGCAAGGCUAAAACUCAAAGGAAUUGACGG